rnacentral:lncRNA from 1 species
UUUCAUCCUUAGUUUCUAUGUGUGUGCAGGUGGGCUGCUAAGCUGCAACGAGCGCGGGUCACACGCUGGGGCAGCAUGAUUUCAACGCCCGAUGCAAUGCUUCAAGCCAUGGUCAAGCCCCGGCAUUAUCAGUUUGCACCAGGCUCAACAUUCCAUAUGCCUUCUCUUGAAGAUGAAUCUCGGGCUGGAGUGCUGCAUUUUCCUCCCUCGUGUGUGGGCGGUCUCCACUGAACAUGGUGUUUGGACAUACGGUCUAAUCUCGUUACAACGGAUCUGUUUACAACAGACAUUCGGAUACUACAGUCCAAUUUGUGGCGUUAUGCCAACCUUCCCAGCUGUUCUAUUGAUUGAGCUUCGUUUACAACGGAUUCUGUUACAACGCACAUUCGGAUAUAAUUUACUAAAAUGUGAGGCCAGCAAGGUUGUCAGGACCCAUUUACAACGGACUUUUCUACCCCAGACAUUCCAAAUGCAAUAACUUCCGACUCCAAACAUCGCUUGACAUACUUUCGGGACGAGAACAGCGCACCGAAUAUUGACGUACCGAUUAAAAAACAAAGGCCGCCGAUAUCCGGUCUGUCAAUGGUUAGUUAUGCCUAGCCGCGGCGACAAAAAAUCAGUGCGCAUCGUGAAAAAUCAGUGCGCAUCGUGCUUGGUCUUGCGUUUUGAGGCGCCGACGCGCGAAAUUGCUACCCGUGGUCGCUGCACGGUGAGCUUGGCCGGGGGGUACACUGCCGAAGUGUUGCCGAGGAGCCAGCGGUCGAUGUAAUUCGUUGCUUGCGACAGAACACAUUGCGGCUUCUUCGCUUUCGCAUGUCCCGUAGCGUGAUGUUCUUGCCUGCAAAGUUCGGAUUAGUCUCGUAUGUGGGUGCCGUAAGCGUACUUAGGCCUAGCCACGACUUCGAGCAGAAAGCUUGGCUGCGAUGUGCGUGGCCGCGGUCUCCGAUGUUUCAAAGUACGCCAUGCUCGAUCGCGAGUACAAAGAGUUGUUCCCGGAUGAUCUUCGUCACGAGGUCCGAAGUGCUGAUGAGCAGAACCCCUAACUACGGGUCCGACGAGUCAACGCUAUUACAGUCGGUCCGAGACGCGCGUCUUGCAAUGUUCGUGACGACUGCGGCGCGAUAUCGUAAUCUGAUUAUUGAGCUUCCGCUUGAAGCUGCCAAAGUAAAGCGUAAUUAUAUCCUAAAUGAUCGUCGACCCGUGAACACAGGUCCCCUAUCAAGAAAAAGUCCGUUCUUUGACCGCGUUUGUGACUCGUAAUUCUCUCCGGUUAUAACAGACCCAUUCAGCGUUUACAUAAAAGUCUGUUGUAACAGUACUUGGAUUUAACAUACUCCCUUUACAGCAGACCAAAAUCCUCUUCACUAUAAAGGUCCGUUGUAAUGAGGUUAUACUUAUUAGUGCACUUUCUCUCUGCCGAUGCUCCUUGUCUGUUAAUUCUGUUCAGAUGCUCUCUCGGCUGCUGAUGUCCGGUUAUGUCAGACUAUUUAUUCUGGAAGUAUAUUUAGGCUAUUUUGUUCAUGUAUUAAAAUUUUUUUGUUGUCUUGUAAUAAAUGCUUUCAGA